rnacentral:rRNA from 1 species
GAUCUGCCCUGCACUUUGGGAUAAGCCUGGGAAACUGGGUCUAAUACCGAAUACACCUCGCUGGCCGCAUGGUCUGGUGGGGGAAAGCUUUUGCGGUGUGGGAUGGGCCCGCGGCCUAUCAGCUUGUUGGUGGGGUGAUGGCCUACCAAGGCGACGACGGGUAGCCGGCCUGAGAGGGUGUCCGGCCACACUGGGACUGAGAUACGGCCCAGACUCCUACGGGAGGCAGCAGUGGGGAAUAUUGCACAAUGGGCGCAAGCCUGAUGCAGCGACGCCGCGUGGGGGAUGACGGCCUUCGGGUUGUAAACCUCUUUCAGCACAGACGAAGCGCAAGUGACGGUAUGUGCAGAAGAAGCACCGGCCAACUACGUGCCAGCAGCCGCGGUAAUACGUAGGGUGCGAGSKUGUCCGGAAUUACUGGGCGUAAAGAGCUCGUAGGUGGUUUGUCGCGUUGUUCGUGAAAACUCACA